rnacentral:lncRNA from 1 species
CAAAAGCCAACAGAUGCAGACACUGGGAAGCUGAGGAGGAGCAAAGUGAUAUGGGGAAAUAAACAGGGCCACAGCUCAGCGGGAGGAGAGUGGAGCUGUUCAGCAGGUCUCAAGACGCCGGCAAAAUCACGGCUACUGUAGACAAAGGUCACCCCAAGGUUAUAAACCCGUAAGUCCACGUGCAACAAGAGCUGCAGGGUCAUGGAGGCCUGGGUGGAAACUGGCCGAAGACACGGCAGAUGAGCAGAGCAGACAAGGAGAGGAGAUGGAAUGGAGGCAGAUCUCAGAAAACGCUGGCAGCUACACUCCUGAAGAAACCUCCGGAAAAUUGCUAAGCCGAGAACAUUGUGUUUUAGCAUACAAAGACUAAAGGAAUAUUGUUCCCACAAGCCCUGCUUGAGGAAAUCACCAGGGAACAAAUGUAGUCAACCAAAAGAUGAUUGAGAAAACAACAGCAAAAGAGCUGACGGUUCUUGCCAUCUUGCCCAGACUGGCAUGCAGUGGCUAUUUAUAGGCAAGAUCAUAGCCUCAACCUAUUGGGCUCAAGUGAUCCUCCCACCUCAGCCUCCCAAAUAGCUGGGACUACAGGCUGACUGAAGAAUCUUUUUUUUUUCUUUUGAGACGGAGUCUCGCUCUGUCACCCAGGCUGGAGCGCACUGGCAUGAUCUUGGCUGACUGGAACCUCUACCUCUCAGGUUCAAGCAAUUCUCCUGCCUUAGCCUCCCGAGUAGCUGGGAUUACAGGCAUGUGCCACCACGCCCAGCUAAUUUUUGUAUUUUUUAGUAGAGAUGGGGUUUCACUAUGUUGGCCAGGCUGGUCUUGAACUCCUGGCCUCAAAUGAUCUACCCACCUCGGCCUCCAGAAGUGCUGGAAUUAUAGGCAUGAGUCACUGCACCCGGCCUAACUGAAGAAUCUUAAUAAAAAUGCUCUUCCAACUUCUCUGACAACCGGAUAUUAACAGACAAAACUGCCUUGGUGCCAAGAAACAGCAAUUAGUAAUAUAUUAGAGCCUCUUUUUUAUCUUUUGAUAUUCUAGGAUUAGAAAAUGUUAAUAAAGACAUAAGAUCUAUAAAUCUACAAAGAAGGUGCAGACUGUGCAUACAAGACUGUUGCUGUUCACAAGACUCACGGAACUAGAACUUCUUGAUUAAAGCUACCUUCACUCCUAACGCACUCUCAGCCAGAUCAAUCCCUCAGUUCUAUUGAAACUACUUCUUCAUUAUCUCAAUAUCCAUUUCCUUCAUCUCCACUGCCAACUGCCUAAUCGGAUCUGCCAACAAUUCUGUCUUGCCUGGACUACUGUAAAGCCUCCUAAUUGGUAUCCAUGACUCUAGUCUUUGCCUCUGCUAAACUCUUUUCCUCACUGCAGCCCAAAUGACCUUUCCAAAACACAAACCUGACUGAAACACUCCCCUCUUAAAAAACCUUUCAAUGGCUUAUCAUCACUGACAGGAUAAAGCCUAAAAGACCUAGCUUCAAAGAGCAAAAAGUUUAAUCACACAGUAGCCCCUUCUUAUUCACGGUUUCGCUUUCCGUGGUUUCAGUUAACUGUGGCCAAUCUUGGUCUGAAAAUAUUAAAUGAAAAAUUCCAGAAAUAAACAAUUGAUAAAUUUUAUAGGUCAUUUCAAAGAGGCUGCAAAACCAAGAGCUCUUAACGCUGUGAGCAAAGAUGGAAGUUCUCUCUAGGAUGCCAUGGCACUCGAUGGUGGUAUGUUUUCCUGGGGAGAUAUAAGACAUAGGUGUUAUAUGACAUAGUAAUCUAUGAUUGUUGCCAUGGGAGAGUUUUAAAGAUUAACCAAAGUAAAAAGAAAAAACAAAUUGUAAACUUUGCACUGUUCUGAGCAGCAUGAUAAAAUCUCAUGCCACCCCACCUGGGAUGUGAAACAGCCCUUCGUGCAGCAUAGCCACCAGGUAUACACUAGGUUGCCCGUUACCCAUUAAGUAGCUGUCUUGGUUACCAGAUCAACUGUCCUGGUAUCUCAGGGCUUGCGUGCAAGUAACCAUUAUUUUACUUAAUAAAUGGCCCCAAAGCACAAGAGUAGUGAUACUGGCAUAUUACUAUAGUUGUUCUAUUUUAUGAUUAUUGUUGUUAAUCUCUUACGGUGCCUAAUUUAUAAACUAAACUUCAUAAUAGGUGUGUAUGUAUAGGACAAAACACAAUAUAUAUAGGGUUUGGUACUAUCUGCAGUGUCAGGCAUCCGCUGGGGAUCUGGGAAAGUAUCUUCUGUGGAUAAGGGGGACUGCUGUACUCUCUUGGCCAGGGUUACAGGCAUCGCACAGCCUCUACAGACGGCAAUUUGGCAUUAUCUAUUAAAACUAAAAAUAUUUAUACUCUUUAACCCAAAAAUUCCAUUCCUAGGAAUUAAUCGUACAGGUAUACUUUCAUGUGCAGAUGGACUUAUAUACAAGGAUAUAUACUGCAGCACUGUUUAAAUUGCAAUAGACUAGAAAUCACCUAAAUUCCAACAAUACAGGAUUGAUCCAAUGAAUUA